rnacentral:misc_RNA from 1 species
UGGAACACAGUGUCUGCUCAAA